GCUCUCUCAACUCUGCACAAUUGCAUCUUUGUCUGUGGUGUAAUUGACGUAAAUCGGGAGAGAAAGUAAGAGAGUCCGAAAUUGACAGCGGGAGAACUUCUUUUGUGGUCCUCCCAUUGCGUUUUUGGAACUCGACAGCA
ensembl:snoRNA SNORA10 small nucleolar RNA, H/ACA box 10